rnacentral:rRNA from 1 species
CACGGGGGGAGCAAGCGUUGUUCGGAAUCACUGGGCGUAAAGAGCGCGCAGGCGGUCGUUCAAGUCGCGUGUGAAAGCCCCCGGCUCAACUGGGGAGGGUCACGCGAUACUGAUCGACUCGAAGGCAGGAGAGGGAAGUGGAAUUCCCGGUGUAGUGGUGAAAUGCGUAGAUAUCGGGAGGAACACCAGUGGCGAAGGCGACUUCCUGGCCUGUUCUUGACGCUGAGGCGCGGAAGCUAGGGGAGCAAACGGGG